GAGGGAAAGAACAUGCGUGCCAGAAGAGGUAGUACUUCCAAGGGUUAGGCCCUGGAAAAAGAGUAGUACCUGGAAGUCUUGAGCUCUGGACACCUGGAAGGGAUCCCCAUGGGCCAGGGCCCUGGCGCGGCUGGAGAGAAGCUUAAGGUCCUUCAGGUCAUGUCUUGCUGCCUCCAUCUCAACCCUGCACCCACAAUUUGACUCAUUCCUGGAGCCCGAAACCAUUCAUUCAUGCAACAGAGGUUUAUUGAGUACCUACUAUGAGCUAACACUGUCCCAAGCACUGGGACGCUGUAGUGAAGAGACAAAUCUUGCCCUCAUCAAGCUUUCAUCCCCUGCAUGUGUGUGAGCCACUGUAACUAUGUGUAUGAACAUGGCAGUGUCUAUGCCUAUGAGCAAGUGACUGGAGAAUCCACCCUUCCCACACCCCCUGGGACUGUGUGUUUGUGAGGGCAGAUGGGUGUGGGAGCAGGUGUGCCGUGGGUACAAGUUACCUCUUGAGGGGGCUGAACAUAACACCAGAAAGUUCCACGUCAGGCUCAUCAUCCAGGUCCUGCUCCAGCUCAAGCUCCAGCUCAUUCUCUUCAUCGUCCUGCUGGCCUAGACUUCGAGCUAGCCUGCGGCCUAGAGCCACUGCCCGCCGCUCCAGCUGGGCCUCCCCAGGCCUGAUAGGAAAGACCCUCAAGGGACAUGCCUGGAACCCAUCACCCAUCUCCAGGCAAUCCCUUGACUUCCUGGAGCCUUGGACUGACCCCUGACCCUUGAACUGAUCCCACUGAUCCUAGGACCAGUUAUUGACCUUGUGGCUGACUUCACUGAUCCCAGGACAGACUCUUAACCCUGGGACAUUUCUAAUUCCAGAACUGACCUCUGAUUCUAGGACUGACCUCUGACCCUGGAACUGAUUCAGUUCUGACCCAAGACCCUGGGGCUGCCCCCAUAUCACUGGCUCCUAACUCCAAGACUGACUCAGUGACUCCAGGUCAUCCCCACAUACUUACUCCAGUUCCUGGAAGCCCACAUUGGGGAUGAUUAACUCGAAGCUGGGGAAUAAUAAAUGAAAGGACUAAGAGGAACAUUCCUAACUACAGAGCGGCACCUGCUCAGCACACGUCCAAGGGUCACUGAAUCGGCAGAUCCAGAGUGGAACCGGGCACUACUUCUCCCUUUCCAGGGUCUGCCUGGGCUGGGACCACCAGGUCUUGCUUCAGUUGCUGAGGGGAUUACCUGUCCUGGAUGGGUGCCCCAAAGUCCUCCUCUGACCAGGCUCCAGUAGCGCCCUCUGGGGGCUGGUACUUCA
rnacentral:lncRNA from 1 species